GUCUGUUAUCUAGAUAGAUAUAAUUAAUUAUAGCUAGUACAUAGCUACUCUUUUAGGACAACCACGUAUCAACUUGCUGUCAGCACUGACCGUACCAUUUAUAGAAGUGUCCCAAGCUAACAAGUAAAUUGUUCCAUAGCCACCUCUGCACAAGAAUCACCUACCAGCAGUCAUGUUUGUCGAAUGUUAAUAUCUGUCCUAGAUUCUAGAACAUAAUUAGACUCUAUUUGGUUGUCCGAUGAUUCUUAUUUCAAAUGGGAACAGUUUUUGGAUACUGGAAUUGGGAUACAGUACCAACCUUACCUCUUCAAUUUGCUCUGACAACGCUUCAGCAGAUCUAUUCCUCUACUGGAAAACCCUGGAAAAUCCGGGAUCCUAAGAACAGAAGGAAAACUGCUGUUUUACAUAUUUGGAUUUAUGCUAUUGCAAACAGGAAUUUUCUUCGCAAAUGCACUAUUGAGCAGUGACGAAACUGUAUGCUAAGUUACAGUCAUUUUUCCCCGAGUGAAGACCAGUGACACGUUAUUCCACUAAUC